rnacentral:rRNA from 1 species
GUAGGUGGCAAGCGUUGUCCGGAAUUAUUGGGCGUAAAGCGCGCGCAGGUGGUUCUUUAAGUCUGAUGUGAAAGCCCCCGGCUCAACCGGGGAGGGUCAUUGGAAACUGGGGAACUUGAGUGCAGGAGAGGAAAGUGGAAUUCCACGUGUAGCGGUGAAAUGCGUAGAUAUGUGGAGGAACACCAGUGGCGAAGGCGACUUUCUGGCCUGUAACUGACACUGAGGCGCGAAAGCGUGGGGAGCAAACAGGGAUUAGAUACCCUGGUAGUCCACGCCGUAAACGAUGAGUGCUAAGUGUUGGGGGGGUUUCCCGCCCCUCAGUGCUGCAGCUAACGCACUAAGCACUCCGCCUGGGGAGUACGGUCGCAAGACUG